rnacentral:lncRNA from 1 species
UAUAGGAAUUACUAGGAUUUGGUUUAGGAUUUGGUUAGGAUUUGGUUUAGGGUUUAGGGUUUGGAUUAGGAUUUGAUUUAGGAUUUAGAGUUUGGUUUAGGAUUUGGUUAGAUUUAUUUAAGGUUUAGGAUUUGGUUUAGGAUUUUGUUGGAUUUUAUUUAGAGUUUAGGGUUUGGAUUAGGAUUUGGUUAGGACUUGAUUUAGGAUUUAGGAUUAAGAUUAGGAUUUAGGGUUUGGUUUAGGGUUUGGUUAGGAUUUCAUUUAGGAUUUGAGAUUUUAUUAGGAUUUAAGAUUCAAUUAGUUUUGGCCUAAAGUUUGAAUGAAGUUCAAUAGGAUUUUAACUAGAAUUAAAUUAAGAUUGAAUUGAGAUAUAUUUGAGUGAUAUUUGUGAUCUUUCUAAUAUUUCUUUAAGAAUUCUUACUGUUUGUUUGAAGUUUCUUUGAGGUUUUUUUUGAAUUUGAUAAAGCUUGCUUAAUAUUAUCAUGGUCUAAUUAGAAUAUUGUUAGUAUUCUAUUAGAAUUAGAAUGUUGUUAUUGCAAUUUCCAUUCUUCCUUCCACAACUAGGUGCCCGGAGCAUUCUCAAGCAAGAUUUCACAUAUUAUGACACCAUGUUAUUGUAAGCAAACUCUGCCAAUGGUAAAAGAGUUGUCUAAUCAUCUUGUUGGUAGUUAAUAGUACAUCUUAAAUAUUUUUCUAAAACUUCAUUAAUACGCUACGUAUAUUCAUC